rnacentral:rRNA from 1 species
GUGGGGAAUCUUGCGCAAUGUGCGAAAGCCUGACGCAGCCAUGCCGCGUGAAUGAUGAAGGUCUUAGGAUUGUAAAAUUCUUUCACCGGGGACGAUAAUGACGGUACCCGGAGAAGAAGCUCCGGCUAACUUCAUGCCAGCAGCCGCGGUAAUACGAAGGGGGCUAGCGUUGCUCGGAAUUACUGGGCGUAAAGGGCGCGUAGGCGGACAGCUUAGUCAGAGGUGAAAGCCGAGGGCUCAAACUUGGAAUUGCCUUUGAUACUGGCUGUCUUGAGUACGGGAGGGGUGAGUGGAACUCCGAGUGUAGAGGUGAAAUUCGUAGAUAUUCGGAAGAACACCAGUGGCGAAGGCGACUCACUGGCCCGUUACUGACGCUGAGGCGCGAAAGCGUGGGGAGCAAACAGGAUUAGAAACCCCUGUAGUCC